GGAGUUGGCCAGACAACCGCCGCUUUAAUUUCUCGCUAUCUCCGCAGGUGAUGGUGGGAGUGAGGGGGAGGAAAGUCCGGGCUCCAUAGGGCAGAGUGCCAGGUAACCCCUGGGGGGCGUGAGCCUACGGAAAGUGCAGCAGAGAGUAGACCGCCGAUGGCCGCAAUACGUUGUGGCACAGGUAAGGGUGAAAGGGUGCGGUAAGAGCGCACCGCGCAACUGGUAACAGUUUGUGGCACGGCAAACCCCACUCGGAGCAAGACCAAAUAGGGAUCCUUUGGCGUGGCCCGCGCUGGAUCCGGGUAGGUUGCUUGAGGUGUACGGUGACGUGCACCCUAGAGGAAUGGUUGUCCACGACAGAACCCGGCUUAUCGGCCAACUCCCUUU
rnacentral:RNase_P_RNA from 1 species